rnacentral:misc_RNA from 1 species
UACCAAAUAAACAACCAAACACAAACUAUAUAGCUUCAAAACACUUGCUAAACAUAUAGAUACGCAUAAAAAUUUCAAAAACACAUGAGAAAACCUACAAUAUCAACAUGCAUCCCCAUUUCAUCAAAACCUAAUGGACAUUCCCUUUUAAUCCAAAACUUGAUUCUUCACAUAACAUUUACAAAAAACUAAUUAGUCCACUCCUAGGUACAUG